AUUGAACGCUGGCGGCAUGCCUUACACAUGCAAGCCGAACGGUAGCGGGCCUUCGGGUGCCGACGAGUGGCGAACGGGUGAGUAAUGCAUCGGAACGUGCCAUUGAGUGGGGGAUAACGUAGCGAAAGUUACGCUAAUACCGCAUAUUCUGUGAGCAGGAAAGCAGGGGACCGCAAGGCCUUGCGCUCUUUGAGCGGCCGAUGUCAGAUUAGCUAGUUGGUGAGGUAAAGGCUUACCAAGGCGUCGAUCUGUAGCGGGUCUGAGAGGAUGAUCCGCCACACUGGAACUGAGACACGGUCCAGACUCCUACGGGAGGCAGCAGUGGGGAAUUUUGGACAAUGGGGGCAACCCUGAUCCAGCCAUGCCGCGUGAGUGAAGAAGGCCUCGGUU
rnacentral:rRNA from 1 species